rnacentral:rRNA from 1 species
GACAGAGGUGCCGAGCGUUAGGCGGAAUCACUGGGCUUAAAGCGUGUGUAGGCGGGCGGGCAAGUACCUUGUGAAAUCCCACGGCUCAACCGUGGAACGGCUGGGUAUACUGCCUGUCUUGAGCCAGCUAGGGGCGAGCGGAACAGACGGUGGAGCGGUGAAAUGCGUAGAUAUCGUCUGGAACGCCGAAGGUGAAAACAGCUCGCUGGGGCUGUGCUGACGCUGAGACACGAAAGCCAGGGGAGCGAACAGG